rnacentral:rRNA from 1 species
CAGCGGAGGGAUCAUUACAGAGUUGCAAAACUCCCACAAACCAUCGCGAAUCUUACCCGUACGGUUGCCUCGGCGCUGGCGGUCCGGAAGGCCCUCGGGCCCCCGGAUCCUCGGGUCUCCCGCUCGCGGGAGGCUGCCCGCCGGAGUGCCGAAACCAAACUCUUGAUAUUUUAUGUUUCUCUGAGUAAACUUUUAAAUAAGUCAAAACUUUCAACAACGGAUCUCUUGGUUCUGGCAUCGAUGAAGAACGCAGCGAAAUGCGAUAAGUAAUGUGAAUUGCAGAAUUCAGUGAAUCAUCGAAUCUUUGAACGCACAUUGCGCUCGCCAGUAUUCUGGCGAGCAUGCCUGUUCGAGCGUCAUUUCAACCAUCAAGCUCUGCUUGCGUUGGGGAUCCGCGUCUGACGCGGUCCCUCAAAAACAGUGGCGGGCUCGCUAGUCACACCGAGCGUAGUAACUCUACAUCGCUAUGGUCGUGCGGCGGGUUCUUGCCGUAAAACCCCCAAUUUCUAAGGUUGACCUCGGAUCAGGUAGGAAUACCCGCUGAACUUAAGCAUAUCA